GAUGCCAAAAUAACAGUGCAAGAUAACAAAACAAAGCUCCAGGAAAGCACUAUAUUAAAGGCAAGUAGUACAUGAUCACUGCCUCUUAUAAGCUCUCAAUCAUCAUACAACAAGUAAGAGUGUGGGUAGGGGUGCAUGUGGACAUGCAUGACUGUUGUAUCAAUAGAUUCAGGACUGUGUGCACGUCUAUCAAUAUUCUCACAAAGGAAGGGGGAAAAACUAAAAAAGGAGACUUGAGAACACAUUCAGCAAAAUUUACCAAGCGAAAACAUAAAACAUAGGGGGGGAGAGAAGAAAGGAUGGGAGGAGGAGAAAAAUUAUGUAGCUUCAGCACGCGUUCACAUCCCUGGAAACAAAUCCACAACUAGAUAUAGACAUACUUUGUACAUAUGCUUCAA
rnacentral:misc_RNA from 1 species